rnacentral:rRNA from 1 species
GAUGAACGCUGGCGGCGUGCCUAAUACAUGCAAGUCGAGCGAACAGACGAGGAGCUUGCUCCUCUGACGUUAGCGGCGGACGGGUGAGUAACACGUGGAUAACCUACCUAUAAGACUGGGAUAACUUCGGGAAACCGGAGCUAAUACCGGAUAAUAUAUUGAACCGCAUGGUUCAAUAGUGAAAGACGGUUUUGCUGUCACUUAUAGAUGGAUCCGCGCCGCAUUAGCUAGUUGGUAAGGUAACGGCUUACCAAGGCAACGAUGCGUAGCCGACCUGAGAGGUUGAUCGGCCACACUGGAACUGAGACACGGUCCAGACUCCUACGGGAGGCAGCAGUAGGGAAUCUUCCGCAAAGGGCGAAAGCCUGACGGAGCAACGCCGCGUGAGUGAUGAAGGUCUUCGGAUCGUAAAACUCUGUUAUUAGGGAAGAACAAAUGUGUAAGUAACUAUGCACGUCUUGACGGUACCUAAUCAGAAAGCCACGGCUAACUACGUG